rnacentral:snRNA from 1 species
AUCGCUUCUCGGCCUUUUGGCUAAGAUCAAGUGUAGUAUCUGUUCUUAUUCCAAUAUCAUUGAGAUGUUCACAAAUCAAACAUUUUCUGUGCCCGAUUAGUA